GUCUAAUCGCCAGUAGUUUUGGGGACGUUUCAAGAGGCAGUUUAAAGGCGAUGUUUCAACAUUUCAGAGCUCGCUGCUCUAAAACCUUCACUAUUUGGAGAAAAAUCCUGUAAUGUUUUCCUCUAAAACCUUAAUUUCUUUGCGACUGAAAACAGAAAGGCAUAAACAUCUUGGAUGAGAUGGGGAGUCAGCGAUAGGUGGGCUUGACGUACUCGGGUGGGAAAAAGCCCACACGGCCGCGACAACAACCUUUCCAGCGCUGAGAAUCAGAGCAGUCCAGCAGUUCUAUGACAUCACCCCGCAGGAAGUGCAGCUGGGAGUCGUGCUC